rnacentral:rRNA from 1 species
AUGUUAGGUAAACAAAUAUGGAGAUUAACUGAGGCUCCGGACAGCUUAUGCGCAAGAGUUUUGAGAAGUAAGUACUAUCCUGAUGGCAAGAUACUCAAUGCUAAACUUAAAUCAGGUUCAUCUUUUACUUGGCAGAGUAUAUUGUCAGGGCUCAAUACAUUUAAUAAGGGAGCGAUCUGGCGUGUCGGAGAUGGUCAGCAAAUUGAUAUUUGGGAGGAUGCAUGGCUACCGUAUAGUAAUAACGGAAGGAUUUUGACGCCCAAAGGUCACUAUUUGCUAAAACAUGUCCAUGAACUGAUUGAUCCUAGUUCAGGAGUAUGGGAUGCUGACUUAAUUCGAUCCAUUUUUUGGGAUAUUGACGCAAGACAAAUCCUAGCAAUUCCGUUGAGUUAGAAUGGAAUGGGUGAUUUUGUGGCAUGGAAAUUCAGUAAGAAUAGUUUAUUUUCAGUUCGUUCUGCAUACCACAUGGAGUGGGAAUCUACUUUUGGUAUCUCCUUGCAAAGAUCUGAUGGAACGGGAUCUUCAGGUUUGAACACGAUUUGGAGAGAUCUUUGGAAGUGCGCUGUUCCAGCAAAAGUGAAAAUUUUUACUUGGAAAUGUUUGCAUGGGAUUCUUCCAUGUUAUGAUGUUCUGGUUAACCGCCACAUAAUGAAUAACAGUACGUGUCCGGUCUGUAAGAGAUAUUGUGAAGACAUAAAACAUGUUAUUUUUCAGUGUGAGGAAGCAAAAGGUAUUUGGCAGAGAAUUGGCUUGAUAGAGGUGGUUACUGAAGCAUGUCAGAUAGAUCGGUCAGGUAGUGCAGUGCUUGAUUAUCUGAUGGCUGGAAAGUUCAGGUCCCAGUUGAUGCAUCAGUAA